rnacentral:rRNA from 1 species
GAUCCUGGCUCAGGAUGAACGCUGGCGGCGUGCUUAACACAUUCAAGUCGAACGGAGAACGGGAGCUUGCUCCCCGGGAUCAGUGGCGGACGGGUGAGUAACGCGUGAGCGAACCUGCCUGUGUGUGGGGGAUAACACCCGGAAACGGGUGCUAAUACCGCAUAACGCAACGGAGCCGCAUGACUUUGUUGCCAAAGAUAUAUUGCGCACAGAUGGGCUCGGCGUCUGAUUAGAUAGUUGG